rnacentral:rRNA from 1 species
CCUACGGGAGGCUGCAGUGGGGAAUAUUGGACAAUGGGCGCAAGCCUGAUCCAGCCAUGCCGCGUGAGUGAUGAAGGCCCUAGGGUUGUAAAGCUCUUUCGGCGGGGACGCGGUACCCGCAGAAGAAGCCCCGGCUAACUUCGUGCCAGCAGCCGCGGGAAUACGAAGGGGGCUAGCGUUGUUCGGAAUCACUGGGCGUAAAGCGCUUGUAGGCGGAUCGUUAAGUCAGGGGUGAAAUCCCGAGGCUCAACCUCGGAACUGCCUUUGAUACUGGCGAUCUUGAGUCCGGGAGAGGUGAGUGGAACUCCGAGUGUAGAGGUGAAAUUCGUAGAUAUUCGGAAGAACACCAGUGGCGAAGGCGGCUCACUGGCCGGACUGACGCUUAAGAGCGAAAGCGUGGGGAGCAAACAGGAUUAGAUACCCUUGUAGUC